UUCUUAUUAGCUUAAUGGUAAAGCAAGAUACUUCUAAUAUCCAGAUUUUAGUUCGAAUCUAAAAUGAGAAU
rnacentral:tRNA from 2 species